rnacentral:rRNA from 1 species
AUAUGGUCAAGUAAGUAAGGGCAUACGGGGGAUGCCAGGGCACUGAGAGGCGAAGAAGGACGUGGUUUGCUGCGAUAAGCGACGGGGAGUUGUAAACAAGCGUUGAUCCGUUGAUUUCCGAAUGGGGGAACCCGGCAGGCGAUAGCCUGUCACCCAUGCGAGUGGGGGCGAUACCCGGGGAAUUGAAACAUCUUAGUACCCGGAGGAGAAGAAAGAAAGUUCGAUUUUGUGAGUAGCGGUGAGCGAAAGCGAAAGAGCCCAAACCUCUGUCUAUGUUACAGGCAUGGACCGCUGUAGCAGAGGUGUUGAAGGAGCCACAAGUGAGAGUUCAUGAUCUCACGAAGAGUAAAAAAGGUUGAGUAUAGAGGAACGGUAUUGGAAAAGCCGACCAGAGAAGGUGAAAGUCCUGUAUUCGAAAUAAUCAACUCUCUUAGUGGAAUUCCUGAGUACCACGGAACACGUGUAAUUUUGUGGGAAUCUGGAGGGACCACUCUCCAAGGCUAAAUACUCCUCAGUGACCGAUAGUGGACGAGUACCGUGAGGGAAAGGUGAAAAGAACCGGGGGACCGGAGUGAAAUAGAACCUGAAACCGUAUGCUUACAAGGUAUCAAAGCACUUGAGAUGUGUGAUGGUGUGCCUUUUGUAGAAUGAGCCGGCGAGUUACUCUAUGUUGCGAGCUUAAGACAGUGAGAUGUCGGAGGCGAAGCGAAAGCGAGUGUUAAUAGCGCGAGAAAAGUAGCAUGGAGUAAGCCCGAAGCCAGAUGAGCUAUCCAUGGGCAGGCUGAAAGUGAGGUAAAACUCAGUGGAGGGCCGAACCCGUUGACGUUGAAAAGUCUUGGGAUGACCUGUGGAUAGGGGUGAAAGGCCAACCAAAUCUGGCAAUAGCUGGUUCUCCCCGAAAUAGCUUUAGGGCUAGCGUCAUAUGUUUAGUCACAGGGGUAGAGCUACUGACAGGGCUAGGGGGCCCACAAGCUUACCAAACCCUAUCAAACUCCGAAUACUGUGACUUGAAGUAUGGCAGUCAGACUACGGGGGAUAAGCUUCGUGGUCAAAAGGGAAACAGCCCGGACCGUCGUCUAAGGUCCCAAAAUUCAUGCUAAGUGUGAAAGGAUGUGGAGAUACGGAGACAACCAGGAGGUUGGCUUAGAAGCAGCCACCCUUGAAAGAGUGCGUAAUAGCUCACUGGUCGAGUGUUUCUGCGCCGAAAAUGUAUGGGACUAAGCAUGAUACCGAAGACACGGGUGUGCAGUGAUGCACGCGGUAGGGGAGCGUUCUUUCAUCCGAUGAAGAUAUACCGAGAGGCGUAUUGGAGGAGUAAGAAGUGAGAAUGCCGGCAUGAGUAGCGUAAAAAGGGGUGAGAGUCCCCUUCACCGAAAACCCAAGGAUUCCCCGGGAAGGCAAAUCCGCCGGGGGUUAGUCGGGUCCUAAGGCGAGGCCGAGAGGCGUAGUCGAUGGCAAGCAGGUUAAUAUUCCUGCACCGUUAUGAUUGUGCGAAGGAGUGACGCAGAAGGAUAUUUAGAGCGGGGCGUUGGUAGACCCUGUUGGUAUAUGUAGGCUAUGAGAGAUGCAGGAAAAUCCGCAUCUUGAGCGGAGGUAUAUCGGGAAGUCUCAGAGAUGAGAAUAAGCUAAAGAUUCCAAGCUGCCAAGAAAUAGCUUCUAAGUUUAGGUCAUAAUGUCCGUACCGCAAACCGACACAGGUGGGUGGGAAGAGAAUUCCAAGGUGUUCGAGAUAACUUUCGUUAAGGAACUCGGCAAAAUGUCCCUGUAACUUCGGGAGAAAGGGAUCCGAAUUGAGUGAAGCCCCGCGGUGAAGCUCGAGUCGGACGCAGUGAAAAGAGGGUGGCGACUGUUUACCAAAAACACAGGUCUCUGCGAAAUCGUAAGAUGACGUAUAGGGACUGACACCUGCCCGGUGCCGGAAGGUUAAGAGGAGAUGUUAGCGCAAGCGAAGCUUCGAAUCGAAGCCCCGGUAAACGGCGGCCGUAACUAUGACGGUCCUAAGGUAGCGAAAUUCCUUGUCGGGUAAGUUCCGACCUGCACGAAUGGUGUAACGACCUCCCUACUGUCUCAACGAGAGUCUCGGCGAAAUUGUAAUGCCCGUGAAGAUGCGGGCUACCUGCGAUAGGACGGAAAGACCCCGUGAACCUUUACUGUAACCUGGCAUUGAACUUUGGUUUAUUAUGUGUAGGAUAGGUGGGAGACUGAGAGACAUGGACGCUAGUUUGUGUUGAGUCAUCGUUGAAAUACCACCCUUAGUGAACUCGAGUUCUAACUGUGUGAAUUACACAAGACAUUGUCAGGCGGGCGGUUUGACUGGGGCGGUCGCCUCCCAAAGUGUAACGGAGGCGCCCAAAGGUUCCCUCAGCGCGGACGGAAAUCGCGCAAAGAGUGUAAAGGCAGAAGGGAGCUUGACUGCGAGACCAACAAGUCGAGCAGAUGCGAAAGCAGGGCUUAGUGAUCCGGUGGUUCUGAGUGGAAGGGCCAUCGCUCAACGGAUAAAAGGUACUCCGGGGAUAACAGGCUGAUCGCGUCCAAGAGUUCAUAUCGACGACGCGGUUUGGCACCUCGAUGUCGGCUCGUCGCAUCCUGGGGCUGAAGCAGGUCCCAAGGGUAUGGCUGUUCGCCAUUUAAAGCGGUACGCGAGCUGGGUUCAGAACGUCGUGAGACAGUUCGGUCCCUAUCCAUCGCAGGCGAAGGAGAUUUGAAGGAAGUUGCCCCUAGUACGAGAGGACCGGGGUGAACGGAUCCAUGGUGUAUCAGUUGUCACGCCAGUGGCAUUGCUGAGUAGCUAUAUCCGGACGGGAUAACCGCUGAAAGCAUAUAAGCGGGAAGCCUCUCCAAAGAUAAGAUCUCCCUCCGCAAGGCUAAAGGCCCCGGGAAGAUGACCCGGUUGAUAGGCUACAGGUGUAAGUGUGGUAACACAUUCAGCCAAGUAGUACUAAUAGGCCGUGAGACUUGACCAUAUUACC